rnacentral:rRNA from 1 species
GCCAGCAGCCAUAUCACCUGCAACUGGCAACUCACUGAAGCUAAGCAGGUGUGAGCCUGGUAAGUACCUGGAUGGGAGACUUGCUGAAAAAAACUAAGGUUGCUGCUGGAA